CCUACGGGAGUCAGCAGUGAGGAAUAUUGGUCAAUGGACGAGAGUCUGAACCAGCCAAGUAGCGUGAAGGAUGACUGCCCUACGGGUUGUAAACUUCUUUUAUAUGGGAAUAAAAUGUUCCACGUGUGGGAUUUUGUAUGUACCAUAUGAAUAAGGAUCGGCUAACUCCGUGCCAGCAGCCGCGGUAAUACGGAGGAUCCGAGCGUUAUCCGGAUUUAUUGGGUGUAAAGGGAGCGUAGGUGGAUUGUUAAGUCAGUUGUGAAAGUUUGCGGCUCAACCGUAAAAUUGCAGUUGAAACUGGCAGUCUUGAGUACAGUAGAGGUGGGCGGAAUUCGUGGUGUAGCGGUGAAAUGCUUAGAUAUCACGAAGAACUCCGAUUGCGAAGGCAGUUCACUGGACUGCAACUGACACUGAGGCUCGAAAGUGUGGGUAUCAAACAGGAUUAGAUACCCGGGUAGUC
rnacentral:rRNA from 1 species